CGGGUGAGUAACGCGUGGAUAACCUGCCUCACACUGGGGGAUAACAGUUAGAAAUGACUGCUAAUACCGCAUGAGCGCACAGUACCGCAUGGUACGGUGUGAAAAACUCCGGUGGUGUGAGAUGGAUCCGCGUCUGAUUAGCCAGUUGGCGGGUAACGGCCCACCAAAGCGACGAUCAGUAGCCGACCUGAGAGGGUGACCGGCCACAUUGGGACUGAGACACGGCCCAA
rnacentral:rRNA from 1 species